rnacentral:rRNA from 1 species
GGGCGGAGCCUGAUCCAGCCAUGCCGCGUGCAGGAAGACUGCCCUAUGGGUUGUAAACUGCUUUUAUACGGGAAGAAUAAGGUCUACGUGUAGACUGAUGACGGUACCGUAAGAAUAAGGACCGGCUAACUCCGUGCCAGCAGCCGCGGUAAUACGGAGGGUCCGAGCGUUAUCCGGAAUUAUUGGGUUUAAAGGGUCCGUAGGCGGGCUGUUAAGUCAGGGGUGAAAGUUUGCAGCUCAACUGUAAAAUUGCCUUUGAUACUGGCGGUCUUGAGUUAUAUUGAAGUGGCUAGAAUAUGUAGUGUAGCGGUGAAAUGCAUAGAUAUUACAUAGAAUACCGAUUGCGAAGGCAGGUCACUAAGUAUUAACUGACGCUGAUGGACGAAAGCGUGGGUAGCGAACAGGAUUAGAUACCCUGGUAGUCCACGCCGUAAACGAUGGAUACUAGCUGUGUGGUUUUCGGACUGCGCGGCCAAGCGAAAGUGAUAAGUAUCCCACCUGGGGAGUACGUUCGCAAGAAUGAAACUCAAAGGAAUUGACGGGGGCCCGCACAAGCGGUGGAGCAUGUGGUUUAAUUCGAUGAUACGCGAGGAACCUUACCAGGGCUUAAAUGUAGAUUGACAGGUUUAGAGAUAGACUUUCCUUCGGGCAAUUUACAAGGUGCUGCAUGGUUGUCGUCAGCUCGUGCCGUGAGGUGUCAGGUUAAGUCCUAUAACGAGCGCAACCCCUGUCGUUAGUUGCCAGCAUGUCAUGAUGGGGACUCUAACGAGACUGCCGGUGCAAACCGUGAGGAAGGUGGGGAUGACGUCAAAUCAUCACGGCCCUUACGUCCUGGGCCACACACGUGCUACAAUGGCCGGUACAGAGAGCAGCCACUUGGCAACAAGGAGCGAAUCUAUAAAACCGGUCACAGUUCGGAUCGGGGUCUGCAACUCGACCCCGUGAAGCUGGAAUCGCUAGUAAUCGGAUAUCAGCCAUGAUCCGGUGAAUACGUUCCCGGGCCUUGUACACACCGCCCGUCAAGCAUGGAAGCCGGGAGUGCUGAGUCCGUCACCGUAGGAGCGCCUAGGCAGAUCGG